rnacentral:rRNA from 1 species
AAACCAACAGGGAUUGCCCUAGUAACGGCGAGUGAAGCGGCAACAGCUCAAAUUUGAAAUCUGGCCCUCGGGUCCGAGUUGUAAUUUGUAGAGGAUGCUUUUGGCGCGGUGCCUUCCGAGUUCCCUGGAACGGGACGCCUUAGAGGGUGAGAGCCCCGUACGGUUGGACACCAAGCCUUUGUAAAGCUCCUUCGACGAGUCGAGUAGCUUGGGAAUGCUGCUCUAAAUGGGAGGUAAAUUUCUUCUAAAGCUAAAUAUUGGCCAGAGACCGAUAGCGCACAAGUAGAGUGAUCGAAAGAUGAAAAGCACUUUGAAAAGAGGGUUAAACAGCACGUGAAAUUGUUGAAAGGGAAGCGUUUGCGACCAGACCUUUUCCUAGCGGAUCAUCCGGUGUUCUCACCGGUGCACUUCGCUAGGUCUAGGCCAGCAUCGGUUUCUGUAGGGGGAUAAAAGCUCUGGGAACGUAGCUCCUCCGGGAGUGUUAUAGCCCUCUGCAUAAUACCCUUACGGGGACCGAGGACCGCGCUUCGGCAAGGAUGCUGGCGUAAUGGUCGUCAACGAC